UGAAUUAUUUCAAAAAACAAAAAGAAUAUAUACGUUUUCCCCCUUUUGAUGAUAAACCCUAAAAUCACACAAUUCCUUCACAAAUUCCCCAAAUCAAACAUGAAUCUUCAUCUUCUAGCAACAGUCAUUUCAAUCCUCUUCAUCACAACCCAAUCCUCAUCAAUUUACGACGCCCUAAGCUCCAACGGCCUCCCAAUCGGUCUCCUCCCAAAAGGAAUCACGAACUACACAAUCGAUCCAUCAACUAACCGAUUCGAAGUUCAUUUGAACAGUUCCUGCAAUACGAAGUUCGAAACGAGUGUUAGAUUCGAUUGGAACUUUGCUGGUGUUUUGAGUUACGGUAAAAUAUCGAAUUUAUCUGGAAUUGCUGCUCAGGAUCUGUUCCUUUGGUUCCCUGUGAAAGGAAUUCAUGUGGAUGUUCCUACUUCUGGAUUAAUAUAUUUUGAUGUUGGUGUUGUGUUUAAGCAAUUUGCGCUUUCUUCGUUUGAGAUACCCAAGGAUUGUACCGCCUUUGAUGUUGAUGGAUUGGACACGGAGUUGAUUGUGCUUAAGGAUCCUUCUCGCACCAUUCAGCAACCCACUGAGGGAGAUGACCAGAGAGCUGUUGCAUAAGUUCUAUAACUAUCUGGAAACUAUUUUACGAGGCUGCAAGACAUGAUCAUGUAGAAGAAGUGUUUGUUCUUAAAUGAUUUGUGUGCUGGUGUACAUGUACAUGUAAUCAUGUAUUUUGUUUGAAGAUCGGUGUCAUGUAAUAUAGUACUUAUACAGAUAAUUAAUACUAAAGGUAAUGUUGUGGUGUACAUUCUGUCAAUUGUAUUUUUUAUGUAAAACAAUUAAUUUCUUUUUGGUUU